UAUUAAUUAUUAAUACUAUGGGUAUUUUGGUAAAUUGAUUCUCAUUCACAUUCCUCAUUUUCAUUUAUUUUGCCAAGUAAACACAUCAAUGGCAUUCCAGCACAUUCUUAUUUCCAUUUAUUUUUGUCAAGUAAACAUUGAAAUCUCAUUCCCAUUCCUUAUUCACAUUCCCAUCCCAUUCUCAUCCCACCCCAUUCGCAUUCCAGGAAGUAAAUGCACCAUUAAUCUUUUCAUUUAAUGAAUCAAUGCAUUUUUGUAAAGAAUCAUUUUCAUUUGAAAUUUCUAAUAUUUUCUUUUUAAGGGAUGCAUUCAUUUUUACCUAUUCUUAUCAAAUCAUCAUGCAAUUCUUUAAAAACAUUAUUUAAUGCAUCACAUGCUGGAAGAUCACUUACCCAUCAAGUUAAUCAAAUGAUUCUUCCCUGAUUGCCAUGGGAGCUAGAUUUGUCAUCUCUCUUUGCUUUUCAUCAUCACUCGUUUCCUUAUCGCUGUCAUCCUAUGUUGCUACCAUUGCCUUCUUCUUGAGCUUGUUGAGGAGAGGACACUCCGAUUGUAUGUGUUGAGGGUUUUUGCAUUCAUAGCAAAUAAUUGGCCCAUUCUUCUCUUUUUGAUUCUUGUAGUUUUUGAAUUUUCUCCGCUCGUUAGUUUUCUUGUAGAAUUUUAUAAACCUCCUAGCCAGCAUGGCUAUUUCCU
rnacentral:lncRNA from 1 species